GAUGAAGAACGUAGCGAAAUGCGAUAAGUAAUGUGAAUUGCAGAAUUCAGUGAAUCAUCGAAUCUUUGAACGCACAUUGCGCCCGCCAGUAUUCUGGAGGGCAUGCCUGUCUGAGCGUCAUUUCAACCCUCAUGCCCCUAGGGCGUGGUGUUGGGGAUCGGCCAAAGCCCGCGAGGGACGGCCGGCCCCUAAAUCUAGUGGCGGACCCGUCGUGGCCUCCUCUGCGAAGUAGUGAUAUUCCGCAUCGGAGAGCGAUGAGCCCCUGCCGUUAAACCCCCAACUUUCCAAGGUUGACCUCAGAUCAGGUAGGAAUACCCGCUGAACUUAAGCAUAUCAAUAAGCGGAGGA
rnacentral:misc_RNA from 1 species